CUUCCUGACAUUGCAAUAAUUUGAAUGAAUGAAAAUUUGAGCGACUAUUUGAGUGGUUCCCGAUCGAGUAGGCGAGAUAUUCACAUCAAGAGAAUUCAUCAAAGUAUAUUAUAUUAUAAACAGACUUUAUACCUGUACACCAGAAAAUAGUUUUGGAGUUAUAAAAAGGGUGCAUGAUUACAACUAUUAAUCAUGAAGUCGGUUCUCUUCUAAAGUCUUCUUUAAGAUGGAUCAACCAUUUGAAACAUCUCACUCUAGUCGUAGAAGUAACCACCCCUUUUAUAUCAGAUAUGCCUUCAUUAGUAUAUCCUAGAAGGCAAUGCCACAUCAAAGAAGUUCUCUUGCUUAUUUCCCUUGUUUUGAUCUCACAAGCUGUAGGGCAAGAUUGUCAGGAUUUUCAUGAUUACUCUAAAAAUGAAACAGAGUGUGGAAAAUGUGAGAGAUAUCAGUGGAUAUCCUCACCAAAAGGAAAUAAAAAGGAGCCGUAUUGCUUGCAGUGUCCUAUAACCUGUGGUCUGGGGCGAGGACUAAAUAGGGAGUGUGGCUUGGGCCAAGGAGAAGGAGCAAUAUGUAUAGACUGUGAUCCCUUAAAACAUUUCUACAGUGAUGAGAGUGCCCCAAAAAAGUGCAAGCUCUCCAUCAGAUGUGAAUCUGUUAACCGGGGUUAUAAGAAGAGAGCUACUCGUAAAUCUAAAGCUAUAUGUGAUGAAUGUUUGCCUGGAUAUGUUCCAUCUGUGUUUCCCGAUGAGAUAGAGUGCGAACCAUGUAGCAUCAGACCUGAGCAUCCAAAUUGUACAACAACAACAACAACAACUGAUAUGCCAAAAUCAACUUCCUCAGUAACACCUCUGUUGAUUUUUCCCUCAGUUGAUACCCCCUCUGUCACACCUAAUAUGAAAUCAACUUCUCCAAUACCACAAGAGAACAAAAAAUCUGUAUUUGAAAAUAACCCAGUUUUAGCUUGGAUGAAAAACCACCUGGGUGCUACCAUUAUGAUUGGCAUUGUGGUGGGCCUUCUUGCUGGUGGAGGUUCUGUGGCUUUCAUCAUCUAUUAUUUCUGUUGUGUAAGAAGAAGGCAAGAAAAUCAAGAUAAAGAUAUUGAAAAGGGGUUGGAACAAAGUGAUUCAAGAACAUCACAAGAAGAGGAAUCUGGAUAUGAAGGGAGCCUUGACAGGAAUGAUGAAACCAAGACACCACUUUUAAGCUCUGAGCAUGUUGAACAACAGAAACAAAAUGAGGAAAGACAAAGACAUCCCUCCAUUCACUCUAGAUUAAUAGAUGUUGUGGAGUGUCCAGAGUGUCAUAGCAGGGACUGCCAUACUGAUAAGUGCACAAGAAGCAGUCGAAGAUCUACUUUAGAUAAGGAUCAUGCUGCUCUCAUUCGUCAUGAGUCAUACGAAUCUAAUGUUGAAUCGCAUGAUGUAUUUGAAGAACCCAGUACAUUGAUAAUGAUGAAUGAAUAUAAGCCUAUUGACUCCAAACCAAAGUCUGAUGACAUUGAGCUCAAAGAGUUCAAAACUCCGAAACGAGGCAGGCGUGACUCAGUUCAAAGUGACAUCAUGCUAAAGCAGGAUGCAGCAGGGAAUGGAGAGAGAGACAUCCCUGAAGAGGUAAAACGAGUUGUCCAGGAAGAAGCUAAGAUACAGAUAGAAAGAGAGCUUUCCCUUAAAGCUACUGGGGAAAUCUGUGGUGUGUCUAUAUCAUCAUUUGGCACAGCACCCCCAACAUCAGACUUUAAUCCUUCUGGACAGUCUUUUAGUGAAGGUUCAAGAGCUGUAGAACUGUCUUCUCUACCCUCACUUGGGCAGUCAUCAAAUCUUGCCCCAGAAGAAUCACAGAAUACAGAUGAUGGCCAACAUCUAUCUCUGCAAGACCAGCCUGUGAGCAAUAGUACACUAUUUCAGACAUCUGUUAACAAUGAUUCCAAUGUCACUUCAUAUAUGAAAAGGAUGGUUGAUAAUCAUGAUGGAACUAAGGAAAUUGAACGUAAAAAUUCUCUGCCAAAUAUUUCUGUACAAACUGUUGGCCUCCAAACUGCUAGUAAGGAUCUCCAAAUUAAAAAGUCUGCACAAUCAUCUCACCCAUCACACCAAGCAAAAGGAUUGGUGACCCAACAUCAGAAUGCAGAAAAGAUAGUGAAUAAUUUCAAUACCCAACAUAAGAUUGAUAAUCCACCAUUGGACAACAAGAGAAAUGGAUGGGAUCAGGUUCAGUACAGAGUAGCUUUACAGAAACUGACAACUAAGACACAACGGUUGGUAUCUUUAUCAAUUGAUGAGAACACUGAACUCUGUAAAGUACUUAAUAUUGAAGAUCAGUACAUCCGGUUAGCUGAAAGAUUUUUCCAUGAUGCAAAGAUCACUUUUCACAAGGACAAUGCAAAAGAGAAAUGCAAGGACUUGUUUGAGAAGCUGAUAUAUGAGAAGGAUUUGCUUCUCAUGGAUUUACUGAAAGAGUUGGACAAAAUAGAUGCAAUCUAUGCCAGGAACCUUUUAGUGAAGAUAGUUUUGAAAAUGGAAGGUCUCAAAAGGGUCAAAUCUGAACCUUGCUUGGUUUCUGACAGGGCCUCCUUAUGAAUGAAGAACUUCUGUGUAUGUAGAUUGUUGACAAAACCAACAAUAGGUUGUAAAAUAGAUACACUGCCACAACCGUCAGUGCAUUAAUAUGUUAACACUUAAUAUGAUGGUACAGAAAUGUACUUGAAAAAAUAGCUAAAAGCGUACCAAGUAUUAUAUACUUGAAAAACAAACAUAAUAUGAAAUGUGUCAAUAGUACACUUAAAGUCAAUGAUGUAUACAUAAAAACAUGGAACAAAACUUUGGCGUAUAUGCUGUAUUAUUGCAGAUUUUACCAGGAAAAUUGUAUAUAUUGUAAAAAGGCUUAUUCACUGUAAAUAAAAAAGCAUUUGCAAGACCUGGUAAAGUGUGUGAUAAUACCACAUGUAUAAGAUAUGUAUAUGAGGGUUAUUCAAUAACUUAUAAUUCAAAUGCUCUCUUUUUCAUGUUUAUUAAGGAAUUACGUUUACAUUAUACAUGUAGUAAUUGAAGGCAAAAUGUUUGUCUCAAUACUGCCCAGUUAUUAUGAAUUUAUUCUUGGUUCUUUCUAUUUUGCAGAAAAUUUAAUAUAUAGGAAUGAGAGUACCCUAAACAGUUUUUUCUCUGUAUAUGUCACUAAAAAUAAUUGUUUUAGUCUAAAUCUAUUUCAGUGUCUAUUUUGUAAAGCAGCAAGGGAUCAUUAGCUAGAUGUGUGGCAUUAAAGUAGAAGAAUAUUAAAAGAGAGAAGUUAAAGCUUUGAUAGAACCAUAAUGAUAAGCUAUGGACUAUGAAUAAUACCAAAAGUGGCCACAUACAUUCAAAUAGAGUAAAAUACUUUAAUUUUUUGUGACAUACACAAAGAACUCUCACCCAUAUACUUAAUUUGCCAGUAAUUUCAAAGGCAAUAAGAAUAAAUUCAUAAUACAUUGAUUAUUAGUAUUUAAACAUACACAAUGCAUUUCAUUUCUGAACAUUUCAAACAGAUUCACUUAAGAACUUUGAAAUGAGAGCAUUUAUAUUCAUAUUUAUUGAACAACUCUCAUAUGACAUUCACCAAGUGAGUGAAAUUUUUUUAAUUGUGUCUUUAUUAUUGUUUUGCAAUAUGUUAAACAAUUAAUACUAAAUAUGCUCCUCUUUCAUUCACAUUUGCAAUGCAAUAAUAAUUCUUUGCUUCUGUAUAAAGGGAUUUGAAAUACUAAUACUUUUACUAGAGGUUUUUACAUGUGUGUGUAUAUUCAAGUACAAUGUUGAAAAUAUUUUCUUUUCAUUCUCCAGCAUUUAUAUAAGGCCAAGGUUUUCUCUAAAUAAAUUGUUGGAAAAUUGAAAAAAAAAAUUAAAAGAUUGCUAAUGCUUUACUCUGACUCUCACUUGAAAGAGCUAUCGAGUGAGUGCAUGACAUCGCUUCUUGGGAACAUGACACAUUAUAUUUUGAUGUUAAAAUCUGCUUCAGAUUGUACUUAUUAGUUUAGUUCUAGUAUUUCUAGCUAGCUUGUAAAGGUAACAGUUCUAAAUUUGCAAUGUGUAAAAAUGUAUGCUAUGAUCCAACAACUGGGGCACUGUAACACCUACAAAUUAAAU
rnacentral:misc_RNA from 1 species